rnacentral:rRNA from 1 species
UACCAAGGCGACGAUCUGUAGCGGGUCUGAGAGGAUGAUCCGCCACACUGGAACUGAGACACGGUCCAGACUCCUACGGGAGGCAGCAGUGGGGAAUUUUGGACAAUGGGGGCAACCCUGAUCCAGCCAUGCCGCGUGAGUGAAGAAGGCCUUCGGGUUGUAAAGCUCUUUCGGCCGGGACGAAAUCGCACGGGCUAAUAUCCUGUGUGGAUGACGGUACCGGAAUAAGAAGCACCGGCUAACUACGUGCCAGCAGCCGCGGUAAUACGUAGGGUGCGAGCGUUAAUCGGAAUUACUGGGCGUAAAGCGUGCGCAGGCGGUUUGAUAAGACAGGCGUGAAAUCCCCGGGCUUAACCUGGGAACUGCGCUUGUGACUGUCUCACUAGAGUACGGCAGAGGGGGGUGGAAUUCCACGUGUAGCAGUGAAAUGCGUAGAGAUGUGGAGGAACACCGAUGGCGAAGGCAGCCCCCUGGGCCGAUACUGACGCUCAUGCACGAAAGCGUGGGGAGC